UCCUUAUCUCUUCAACAAACCGACCGAAGUUUGGGGAAUUGAAUCUCUUUAUUGCCAACCUACAUUUUUGUUUUAUUAAACCUUCACCAUCAUCAGAUACAUCGCCGCACCCAGUGACCCCAUCACCCCACCUACCGCUCACCGUUGUUCAGGCCACACAACCACGACUCGCCGCGGCGUACAGCAGCCGCUAUUCAGUCCUCGCACUCCGACGCGCCAUAGUUCCAAUCGCUACUGCCGGUUCACAGGUCACUACGUACCUGCCCUUAUGCGAAACCGUCAUACAACUGUCGUACUCCGCCAUUCUAUUAUUCCAUCGCAUCAGACUGUCACUUUAACUCGGUUCCGUUUGAUCAUCUGGAGCUCUAGUCUUUUGUCUCCGGUUAGCUCCAUUUGGUGAUUAAGGUUUUUGAUUUUCGAGGUCGACUUGAUUAAUUGGGUUUUGUUUUGCUUGCUAAUAAGGUAAUUUGGGAAACAUGAGGAAUAAGUGAAGAGUGUCAUGAAGAUAGAGAUUUAUUUUUAUUUCGGUAAUGUAAUGAAAAUGUAAUUAGGAUCUUUUGUUUUCAACGUUGUGGAUUGGUUUUAGUUUUGAUAUCUGUAUGAGUGACAUGUCAGCCGCUUCAGGUAGGGGCGUUACAAUUAUGGUAUCAGAGCGAAGGCUCUUUCCUGUAGAAAAUUUAAAGAGUAAAACUUGACCUUGUGAGGUAAUGGGUAGACGUUGGGUUAGGAUUUCAACUUUCGUCAACCUUCAUACUCUUGAGUUCGUCA